UACGGAGGGUGCAAGCGUUGUUCGGAAUCAUUGGGCGUAAAGCGCGUGUAGGUGGCUUGGCAAGUCGGUUGUGAAAUCCCGGGGCCCAACCCCGGAACUGCAUUCGAAACUGCCUCACUAGAGUCCCGGAGAGGAAGGCGGAAUUCCCGGUGUAGAGGUGAAAUUCGUAGAUAUCGGGAGGAACACCAGCGGCGAAGGCGGCCUUCUGGACGGUGACUGACACUGAGACGCGAAAGCGUGGGGAGCAAACAGG
rnacentral:rRNA from 1 species